UGAGGAAUCUUCCGCAAUGGGCGAAAGCCUGACGGAGCGACACCGCGUGGAGGAUGAAGCCCUUCUUGGGUGUAAACUCCUGUUCUGAGGGAAUAAAUUUUUGAAGGUACCUCAGGAGAAAGCAUCGGCUAACUACGUGCCAGCAGCCGCGGUAAGACGUAGGAUGCAAGCGUUACUCGGAAUCACUGGGCGUAAAGCGUCUGUAGGCGUUACGUAAAGUCUGAUGUAAAAGGACAGAGCUCAACUCUGUUUACGUGUCGGAAACUUACGUAAUUGAGCAACUCAGAGGCACCUGGAAUGCUGUGUGUAGGGGUAAAAUCCGUUGAUACACAGUGGAACGCUCAAAGCGAAGGCAGGGUGCUGGGGGUUUGCUGACGCUCAGAGACGAAAGCGUGGGGAGCGACCCGG
rnacentral:rRNA from 1 species